rnacentral:tRNA from 1 species
UCCCUGGAAGCUCAGUUGGGAAAGAAUUUGCCUGCAAAGCAGGAGACCUGGGUUUGAUCCCUGGUUAGGGAA